GUCCUGUAAGGGGGAGCACCUACAGCCUGUGUGGACCAGUGCGGUCCUCCAUCCUGUAUCUUGUAAGGGGGAGCUCCUAUUGCCUGUGUGGAUCAGUGCGGUCCUGCAUCCUGUAUCCUUUAAGUGGGAGCUCCUGUGGUCUGUGUGGACCAGUGUGGUCCUGUGUCCUGUAAGGGGGAGCUCCUAUGGUGCGUGUGGACCAGUGCGGUCCUGUGUCCUGUAAGGGGGAGCUCCUAUGGCCUGUGUGGACCAGUGCGGUCCUGUGUCCUGUACGUGGGAGCUCCUAUGGCCUGUGUGGACCAGUGCGGUCUUGUGUCCUGGAAGGGGGAGCUUCUAUGGCCUGUGCGGACCAGAACGGUCCUGCAUCCUGUAUCCUUU